ensembl:lncRNA
UCGUGCAUCAUGGCCGACGCUUCCUUAAGGAACUUUAAUAGCUCAGAUGUUUCCAUGACCUUCUACAUGAAUAUUCCCAAAGUACACCAUUAAACAAAAUAAAACACAUUAAAACACUACAAAGUAUAAAUAGUACAUGUAGUAAACAAUUCUAAAUGUUAAUAAAAUAAAUUACGAGACCUUUACCAAGCCAUAUCAUAUCAAAUCUGUAUACCCGGUGUAACCUUCAACAGAGUGCUUCCCUGUCAGAACCCUUAAAGAACCCUUGAUUAUCCAAUGAACCCUUAAAAAACACUUAAAAAACCCUUUUUAAUUCAAUGGAUAAUUUUUAGUUCACUGGAUAAUUAAGGGGUUCUUAAGGGUUCACUGGAUAAUUAAGGGUUCUUUAAGGGUUCACUGGAUAAUUAAGGGCUCUUUAAGGGUUCACUGGAUAAGUUAAGGUU